AGAACUGUGGAGCACUUCAACCGUUGGUUUGUGGAGCACAUCAACCUGCUCAAGGACGACGGGUACACUCCCCUCCACCUGGCAGCACUUAAUGAUCACCUGGACGUUGUCACUGCCUUCGCUGAAGUGGCGCUGGGUCAGGCUGGCCAGUGUUUCCCUCUGGAGAUGUUCGAGUGGCAGUCAAUGGCCGAGUGUGGACAUUCAACCAUCAGGCCAUGGUAGCCGCCCCGGAUGAGAACCCUCCUGAAUUAAGUGCCAGAGUCUGCAGGAGGGCUGGACAGUGACAAUAUUGGACUGCAUCUCAAGAUCCUGUCCCUCCUCGAGAACCCGACCGUCAUCGUAGAUACCAACACUCUCAGAGAGUUCCUACGCAAACAUCCCACAGAGGUGAGGACACAGUGUUAUGUACUCUCUCUCCCUUCUUUCAAUUUUGGGGACUCUUUCAGCUGCCAUAACUUGAAUUC